GUCUUUCACAGGCAUGUUGGGAGGAUUAGCAAGCACAUGCAAACUUCCUUAGCUCUUUGAAACAGAGGUGCUUUAAGAAAUCCAAAGCAGGCACCUUGUGUGCAAGACAUUGGCUGCCUUUAUGUUUAAACCUCCACUUUUUGAAGUUAAAAAUGGUAUUCUUUGGCUAGAACACAGAGCACAAUUAAUCAGCAGGAUCUCAGUCAAAAAUAUAAUUUUCAUGGAUUCCAGGAAUGCCCAGAAGCUCCUGGCCAGUAUGGAACUAGCGUAACAGGAAGAUGGAAUGCUGGGUAUUCUGGAUGGCUGUUCUAGGAACUCAGGGUCCUUUCUAAUACCGUCACUGACCAGCUGUGUCAGCCUUGACAAGAGGCUUCCCCUCCUUCAGCUUCCUCACUUGCAGAAAUAGUGUGCUUUCUGACUGCCUCACAAGAUUGUAGAUGGAAUGAAUAUAAGGAAUGCAUAAAAAUAUUUAGAAUGAUACAAACUAUUAUUUGUGCAAAACAUGUGCUAUUGGUGACUUUUGAAAAUGGGUUGAGAGUCCCAAAUUUUCCCUUUGGACUAGCUGCAAUUGCAUUAAAACAUUGCAAUACAGAUUAUUUAAAGAGUAGAAAGCCUUGUUCUCCUCAUUGUCUCUUAAUUAGUUUUUCUGUCAUUAAAUUUUGAUUGUGUUUCUGGUUGAGUAUAGAGGCACUUACAAGACAGCUAUUUCUCUCAGUGCUUUGUUCCUGAAAAGUGCCCUCAGAUGGAAGAUGCAUUUCACUCUUGUGGAAAAUGUGCAUGACUUUUGAUCCCAAGGUGUUUUCUGUCAUGAACCUUGUCCAGGAAUCUGUAGCUAAAAUAUACAGUAUGCUAGCUGCACAAAUGAUUUUCUUGGUGUUUCUGGACCCAUUUUACCAUUCUCACCUAUGACUAUAUUUCCCAGUGGUAUCAGAACUCAAUUAUGCUUUACUUGAUGCAUCCACUUUCCAAAUGCAAAUGAUUCUUUGUCAAAGCGGUGAAUGUACAAAUAACAAAAGAGAGAAGAUCCAUUUCAUUGAGAUCUGUUACUUUGGCAAAUACUUCAUUUAAAUUGGAUUGGUAAGAUGGAACUUCCAUGUUCUCUCCACGACUUGCAAGCCAUCCUUGGAAAGCAGACUUGAAGCAAAGUCACCUGGGGGUUGAUGGCCCAAGGUGUUUGGAAUUACCUUGGUGGUGGGGUGUAAGUCAUUUGUAUGGAUAGAAGAAAGGUAUUAGGCAAAGGAAGGAAGGGCGGAGGAAAUCACAAUGUGUUCCCUUAAUUCCACUAAGGUAAAAUCAGGUUAAAAUAAAUUCCUCUAUCCUGGAAGGGGAAAAAAAGACCAAAAAAGUGGGUUUUUUUUUUGUUUUGUUUUGUUUUGUUUUUGUUUGUUUUUUAAAGGCAAACAGGCAAUUGCAUGCAUUUCUCUUCCCUUCCUCCUUUAUACCCUGAGCCUCUAUUAUUCCAGUUUGUUAAAGAGGAGAUAUUAAUCCAAAACAUUGGGCCUACUUCCAUGUCAUGUCUCCAUGGGGUUUAGAAUCCUAACCUAUCCCUUGAAAGUAUGCAGAACCCAGGCUAGUGCCAUGUAUGGGGAGCUCAGUAGCCCAAAGAGGAGGGAGCAUGGGGUAGACAGGUAGACAAGGUAAGAGAUGAGACAAUAGGUGUGGAGAUGGCAUUUUGGAGGUGUCAGAUGAAGAGCUUCACUGUGAUGGUGGCAAAGAUAAAGAAGUCAGGUGGAGGACAUUGAUGCAGGAGGAUGAGCCUGAAGCUGGCCUGAACCAGUCAUUUCCUUAGUGGUCAAGCUCACUAACUUAGUGAGUAACUGAACUGUCAGGACCUCAGGCUCUACAUCUCCAAAAAAAAGGGGCAUGAUCUUCAGGAAAGUUGGAAAUAACAAGCGGAAGAGCAUGCGUAAAUGCAUGUUGUCCAAAUCAAAUGAUAUGCAAACAUGAAGGCCUUUUAGGGCUGAAUGUGAAGCUGGCACGACUAUGGAAGCAGGAGGGGCAGCCUGAAAGCAUCUUGGGUUGCAGCCAUGACUGCCCUCCCUCCAUCAGUCAGUGUCUGGGCUGAUCCUGCAUGGAGCCUCCCUUUAUUUAGGAAGGAGAGAGGGACAGUGUGCACCCAACAUGCAAAACACGGCUCAGGGGUAGAGCUUUUGAGAUCUCACCUCAGAACCUUAGCCUCGGGAGGCCAUCCAGCAGAGCACGCCACCAGUGAAGUGACUUGAGAAAGAGGCCGAAUUUAAAACGUCUUCACAAAGGAAUAAAAUAUUAUCAGCCCAGAGACAGAGUCUGUGAAGGCAUGGUUUAUUGUCUGCGGUUGGCUGGAUUUCAUAAAAUGAAGAAAAUCAAACCAGAGGCCUGUUUGUGGAGUUGGAGCGUGAUUGUAUUUUUAGUUUUCUUAACUAAAUAAAUCCAUCACUUGACAAAGAGGAGAGUGUAGUGGAUUAGACAGAGAAGGUAUGAUUGAAGACUUGAAGGCAGGGUCAGCUCCAGAUACAUUGAUCACAGUCUCAUUAGGCCUGGAACAGAAACAAAAAUGAAUUUGAAAUGUGGGGAGGGGAGGGGGACAAUAGAAGGGAGAACGAAGGGAAAUAUCAGUACGUUUUGUAACAGUGUGAUUCAUAACACACAGAUGAACUCAGACAUUGAGAUAAAAUUCAUUGGUUAAAUUCCUGACAGAUACUGAGCCAGGGUAAAACAUUUCUAUCACCUCAUCUCUCACUCUUUGUCUUUCUUGGUAAAUAAUUUUUCAGCACAGAAAAAGUGUUCUACUCCUGAUAAGUAUUUUUGAUGUUGUAAGGCUGCAAAAGUGUAUUCCGAGUGAAGUCCAAUAAAAUAGCAGUCCUAGCAGAGACAGACAAAAAUGAGCAUGGGACAGUUAUUGCUAUUGGUAGGUCAUUCCUCUGAUUUAGAUAUGUAAAAGCAUAUAUAAGUGGAGUUCUCUUUGUGGCUCGGUGGAUUAAGAACCUGAAACAGUGUCUGUGAGGAUGUGGGUUUGAUCCCUGGCCUCGCUCAGUGGAUUAAGGGUCUGGCAUUGCCGUAAGCUGUGGUGUAGGUCACAGAUGCCUCUUGGAUCUGGUGUUGCCGUGGCUGUGGCAUAGGCCUACAGCUGCAUCUCCAAUUUGACCGCUAGCCUGAGAACUUCCAUAUGCCAUAGGCAUGGCUAUAAAAAGAAAAUUAAAACAAAAACCAAAAAAACAUAUAUGAACAACAAAAGAGAUAGAUAAAAAAGUUGGUUGACUGUUUCAUUAAAUUGGAAGUGAAGCUCAUCACAAAAUUUUGUAUUAGGAGGGAGUGGAAUAAUUGGUGAAAUUAUUCCUAAGACUUAAAUUCAGUCUUCAGGGUCCUUCAUCAGCCAUCCCACUGUCCUGUCCCUCAUCGAGCUCCAUACCUCAUUAUGUUUCAUUUGAAAAACAUAAUUAUGUUCUUCAAACCAUUUUCCUCUUCUUGUCUGCUGCAUCCUUUCUUUUGCUCUUGCUGUUUCCUUUGCCUGCCUUCUCACUCUCUUUUGUUCUCUUGCCAUAACAGUCUGCAUGAGCUGGUGGAGAUCUUCCUUAGGGCUCCCUGAGUAAUCCAUCCUGGGGUUCAAGGGAGCCCAAAAAUAAAUAAACACUUCUCUUCCCCUGCUGUGUUCUGAAUCAGUUGAGAAAUAGAAAGAAAUAGAUAUAGGACAGAUGAAGCCUAACAUAUGAUCUUUAGCCUGAUAAGACUGGAGAAUGUGACAAGUGGAUUGGAUAAUCCAGAAUCCAGAAUUAGAAAGACAUUAACCACCAUCCCCCCACCUCCCACCACUUCAGGCAGAGCCAGAUCACUGCAGAGAUCCACCCUGUCAAACUUAGAGCAAGUUUAUGGUGUGCUCUCGCCACUGGCUGGCAGGCUCACUGACUAAAGUAGGAAGAAGGGACAGGGCUACACAGAAUCACUUCCUACCCCAGCUCAUCAGCUGACAGUGUGACUAGAGUAUGGCUAGAGGGGGUAAGAGGCCAGGGGGGUUUCACUGGUGCAGCUUCCCCUACAUGGAAACAUCAGGAGUAGGGAAAGUGUGAUUCUCUAGUAGCAACCCCCUUUAGAAAAAUUUUUACAGGGGCUUGUUCUAUUAAGUUGUAUAUUUAUAUAUUUUGAUUAUUUGGGUGUUCAGUCAGGGAAGCAGAGCCAUUAUGACUACUAGGGGAUGAGGAAUUUAUCACAGAUAUUAUACAUUGCACAGUUGUGGGAGCAACUGAGGUCUCAAAGGGAGAGUUGGGUGACCAGAGAAUCACCAAACAUUCAUCCUAAAGCACUGGGAUGGGUGAAGAGUAGGAGGAGAGCAGAGUAGCUGACCAUAUCCAGCUUCCAAAGUGAGACCUUGAAGGAGCAGAGCGUGGAGACCUUCUGGGAAGCUGUCACCCCUGAGUAGUCACUGCCUCUGCAGUCCUGUCACAAAGCAUUUAAUGGGGACCUGGGGUGGCUGUGGUCAGCAGUGCCACAGUCAGGGAGAGCAGGACCUGAGGAGGAGGAGGAAGGCAAGGACAAGCAGGGCCUCCCAGCACUUAUGGUCAGUCUGUCACCUUAUCAAAAUGUGAACAACUUGAGAGUAAUGGAACAUUUCUGUUUCAGCUUUUCCUUUGGCCAGUUCUAUCCUGGCGUCAUGGAGAAAGUAGAGGAUUUAGGAAAAGCAGUUCUCAGCUUAACCAAGUGGGUGGUAGAACAAUCCAGCAAGUCAACACUUGGACAGCAUGGCCUCUAUAUACUCCUCUUUUAGCCACAUUAAAUAUAAAGACGAGAUAAAUCUUACUUCUGUUAACACAAUACAAUUAAAAAUACUUUCACCAACCCCCUGAAAAGCAUAAUGGUCUCUUGUGUCAAUUUACUCAUCUUUGGGGGAUGUUCAUUCCUUUUCCAGUUCAAUCAUAUUCAGCCUCUGAUAUUCUGUAACUUAAAUGUUACAGAUAUAUAAUGUUAACCAUUAUGCAUACCCCUGGAGUUAGUUUGUAGGGGAAU
rnacentral:lncRNA from 1 species